rnacentral:misc_RNA from 1 species
UGAGAACUUGCACCAAAGGCCAAAGUGCAGAAGAGUCAGAACCUAGUGGAGAUAGCAUGCUCAGAAUGAGCUCUGGCAGCACAAAGAGCUUAUCACAAAAGCUGGAGAAUAUAGAUGAAAAUGGUCCUGUUCUUUGGCAAGCAGUCUCAUAUGAUGCACCUGAAACUCCUACCGAGUCCAUGGAGUUUCUUGCUAGAUCAUGGAGCCUUUCAGCCAUGGAACUCUCUAAAGUUCUUUCCAAAACACAUGUAGCUUCUGAAAACGUUGAGAAGCCUCCUUUGUCUUCUGCUCAAGCUGAAGGGCAAGAUGCAAGUGCUACAGCUCCCAAAGAAUCUCAUUUUCAACAGUUAACUAGUGGUGGUAAUGGUAGCCCUCCAAUAUCUUCAAGGGAUAGUGAAGAAAUGAAGGAACUAAUUUUACUUCAUCAAGCACUCAACCCAGAAUUCCUUUCAAGUCAACAACUGCUCAAAACUGGGCUAUACAAGAGCAUAAUUAAAGGGAGAACAAUGGGAAGAUGGUUGAAGGAUCAAAAAGAGAGGAAGAAGCAGGAGAUCAGAACUCAUAAUGCACAACUGCAUGCAGCUAUAUCCGUAGCAGGGGUUGCUGCUGCUGUUGCAGCUCUAGCUGCCUCAAAUGUGAUGUCAGCAGAAAUGGCUUUCAACCGCCAGAAGAUACAUUCCAAAAAACCAGCUGCAAUGGCUUCAGCAGCAGCUCUGGUAGCAUCUCACUGCAUCGAGAUUGCAGAGGAAAUGGGUGCUGAUCAUGACCAAAUCAUAAUGGUUGUCAACUCUGCAGUUAAUGCAAGGACUAGUGGAGAUAUCAUGACCCUAACAGCUGGAGCAGCUACAGGUAUCAGAAAACUUCUUCAAUUACUUCUAAAACUCAGUUAUUCUAUGAUUCAUAUGCUCAGUUAACACAAUGUCAACCAAAUUUAGCAAACCAAACAACUUUACCAAAUGGUGCUGCUAGAAACUAUGGACAAAAAUAUAAAUAAUGAUUCUAGGUAGACUAACAAGACAGACUGAAAAAAAGGUCAGGCUUGAAUACAAAUUGAACUACUAAAAUGAGAAAGCAGGAAGAAAAUGAAGCAAUGAAGCAUUAAUUUUUCUUGAGAUGUUUCUAAUAACUAGACAAUAGAGAAUUGUCUAAAUUAAAUAGAAAUUUACAUGAGCUGGCAGCCUUGCUAGGAGCUAACACUCAAAAAGCGAGGCUGCAAAAGAGGCAUGGAAGUACAGCCUUUGCUCUGGUGGAGGAAAAGGUUGAAGAAGGAAAAGAAUCUAACAUCUUGGCAGCAUUGAACUUCGUGACUAGAGGGGGAGAACUGCUCAAGCGUACAAGGAAAGGUACAUAUUUUCACAUUUAUACCAUAUGGAUUCCUAUGUAGAGGUAAAGUCACAUUACCAAAAUACAUAAAAGUGAAGCAACUGCCACUAACCAUCAUGUAAAUGUUGAUGGCAGGAGCUCUCCACUGGAAGCAAGUUUCUUUUAACAUCAAUUCAAAUUUGCAGGUAAACCAGGAGACACUUAAACCACACAAUUACAUCAAAUGACCAAAACUAAUGAAUUUCAGCAAUUUUCAAGUUUAAAGAGGAAAUAAAAGCUAUCUGUAAAUUAAAAAUAGCUCCAGGAAGUUGAGCUACAUAAUGAAAUAGAUACAGUACUUCUUUUUCUGUGUAUUUUUAUUCUCAGAAAAAUCAAGUGCCAACUAGAAUUUGUUAUAUAAACAGGUGGUAGCUAAAAUGAAAAGCAAGCACAUGGCGGGAACAUUCACAAAAAAGAAGAAGUGUAAGCAACCUCUCAAAUCCAUAGCUAUAAAUACCUCUCUCUCUGUGCACGUCCACUGAAUCGAGCCAUGCUGUGAUUACAGGUGUAGUCUCUGGAGUAUACAGUGACAUACCAGCACGGCCUGGAAGAGGGAAAGAAGACUGCAACGAGGAAAGAGCUUACUUUGGGAUAAAAACAGCUGAAAGAGUGAUAGAGUUUGAAUGCAGAAGCAAAGAUGACAAGCAGAUGUGGACUGAUGGGAUUCGGCAUAUGCUGAAUUGCUGUACCAAUAUAAAAUCUGAGGCAACUUUCAAUUGCUGCAAAACUAGCUUUUGACUUUGCAAAGUGAUUAAAAAGAAAUGCAUAUCUCGUACUUUCUUGAAAUUGAAAAUGUAAACGCACUUGUAACUAUUGUUUGUCAUAUACAAAGCUGAAGGAAGGAAGGGCCUAUUGAAUGAGAUUGGCCAUGGGCAAAUUCUAGCAAAGGGCUAUUUCUUGCGACAAAAAUGCCUAUUUCCUAAAAGGCAAAUUCCAAAGAGACAAAACUGUUAUGAAUCUUCCCAUGGAUUGAGACUUGAUCAGUCCAGUUCCCUGAGAAAAUCGACAUUAUCAACCAAGACCGAUUUCCAACCAUCAGGGUCCAAGCAUGCAGUAAUCUUGGUAUUAAUCCCUGGUAAAGGUCCAGGUUCACGAAUAAUGCUUCCUCCACAGAGUUCAAUCGCUUUGGCACUCUUAUAGACAUCAUCUGUGCCUAUCGCAAUCUGUGUAUAACCAUUUCCUUUGUCAUAUUCUGUGAUCCCAUAAUUAUAUGUCAGCUCCAGCACGGCAUUUUUAUCUUCUGGACCAUACCCCAUUAUGGCUAUUGCAUACUCUGAUUCUGGGUUCUCUCUUCUUUGAAGAAGCUGCAUGCCAAAGGCCUUCUUGUAGAAAUUUACAGCGCGAUCAAGAUCACCCACUCUAAGCAUUACUUGGCAUAGAGGCUCAGGUGUAAGCCCCCUCUCCAAAAGCUCAAAUUUAUAACCAUCUGGAUCUUCAACAAAAGCAGUCAUUACACUCCCACCUUUAACAAGACCAGGUUCUCUAGUAACUUUGCCCCCCUUUGCUUUCACAAGAUUUACUGUCUUGGCAACAUCCUCAACUGCAAUGCCAAAAUGGCCAAAUCCAGUUCCAAUGUUGUACUUGUCAACUCCAUAAUUAUAAGUAAGUUCAACAGUGAAAUGAGAAUCUUCAGGUCCAUAUCCAAGAAACGCAUUUGUAUAUCUCUCCUCUGGU